AUACGGAGGGUGCGAGCGUUAUCCGGAUUUAUUAGGUUUAAAGGGUGUGUAGGCGGGAGCCUAAGUCAGUGGUGAAGUCUCACAGCUUAACUGUGAAACUGCCAUUGAAACUGGGUUUCUUGAGUAUAGUUGAGGUAGGCGGAAUGUGUAAUGUAGCGGUGAAAUGCAUAGAUAUUACACAGAACACCGAUUGCGAAGGCAGCUUACUAAGCUAUUACUGACGCUGAUGCACGAAAGCGUGGGUAGCGAACAGGAUUAGAUACCCCUGUAGUCC
rnacentral:rRNA from 1 species